rnacentral:rRNA from 1 species
ACGGAGGGUGCAAGCGUUAUCCGGAUUCACUGGGUUUAAAGGGUGCGUAGGUGGUCUGAUAAGUCAGCGGUGAAAGCCUGGAGCUCAACUCCAGAAUUGCCAUUGAUACUGUCGGACUUGAAUCAAGUUGAGGUGGAUGGAAUAUUACAUGUAGCGGUGAAAUGCUUAGAUAUGUAAUAGAACACCGAUUGCGAAGGCAGUUCACUAAGCUUGCAUUGACACUGAGGCACGAAAGCGUGGGGAUCAAACAGGA